rnacentral:rRNA from 1 species
CAAGGAACUAAGAGUUUAUGGGGAAUACCUUGGCAUUCAGAAGCGAUGAAGGACGUGGUUACCGACGAAACGCUUCGGGGAGCUGGAAACGAGCUAUGAUCCGGAGGUAUCCGAAUGAGGCAACUUGAAAACUACUUAUUGAAUAUAUAAAUAAGAAAGAGUAAACCUAGGGAACUGAAACAUCUUAGUACCUAGAGGAAAAGAAAGUAAAAACGAUUCCCUUAGUAGCGGCGAGCGAAAUGGGAAGAGCCUAAACUUAUAAAUAAGGGUAGUGGGACGAUCAAAAAUGAUUAAAUGUGACAAUUAGAUGAAUAAGUUGGAAUACUUAACCAUAGAAAGUGAUAGUCUUGUAAUCGAAAAUUGAAACAAUCAAGAUUAAAUCCCAAGUAGCAUGGAGCACGUGAAAUUCCGUGUGAAUCUGCGAGGACCACCUCGUAAGGCUAAAUAUUACUGAAUGACCGAUAGUGAAAAAGUACCGUGAGGGAAAGGUGAAAAGAACCCCGGGAGGGGAGUGAAAAGAACAUGAAACCAUAAACUUACAAUCAGUAGGAGGACAACUGAAAUGUCUGACUGCGUGCCUGUUGAAGAAUGAGCCGGCGACUUAUAGUUAGUGGCAGGUUAAAACAUUUCAAUGUUGGAGCCAUAGUGAAAGCGAGCCUGAAUAGGGCGUUAGUCUCUAAUUAUAGACCCGAACCCGGAUGAUCUAACCAUGGUCAGGUUGAAGCUUAGGUAAUACUAAGUGGAGGACCGAACCGACUGAUGUUGAAAAAUCAGCGGAUGAAUUGUGGUUAGGGGUGAAAUGCCAAUCGAAUUCGGAGCUAGCUGGUUCUCCCCGAAAUGCGUUUUGGCGCAGCGAUAAAUGUUAUAAUUUAGGGGUAAAGCACUGUUACGUAUGAGGGCUGGUAAUUCGGUACCAAAUCGUUGCAAACUAAGAAUACUAAAUGUACAAUUUAUCAGUGAGACUGUGGGGGAUAAGCUUCAUUGUCAAGAGGGAAACAGCCCAGAGCACCAGUUAAGGCCCUUAAAUAAUUACUAAGUGAUAAAGGAAGUGGGAGUGCAGAAACAAUCAGGAGGUUUGCUUAGAAGCAGCAAUCCUUUAAAGAGUGCGUAAUAGCUCACUGAUCGAGUAAACCUGCGCCGAAAAUGUACGGGACUAAGUAAUUUGCCGAAACUGUGCGAUAUAUUUGAAUAUAUCGGUAGGGGAGCGUUCUGUUGUAGGUUGAAGUAUUAGCGUAAGCGGAUAUGGACGAAGCAGAAGUGAGAAUGUCGGCUUGAGUAGCGAAAAUAUAGGUGAGAAUCCUAUACCCCGAAAACCCAAGGUUUCCUCCGGAAGGCUCGUCCGCGGAGGGUAAGUCAGGACCUAAGGCGAGACUGAAAAGUGUAGUCGAUGGAUAACGGGUUAAUAUUCCUGUACCAUUAUUUAUUGAUAUCGAAGGACGGAGAAGGCUAUUUUGGCCGGAGAUUGGUAUUCCGGUUUAAAUGUUUAGGCGUGUACGGCGAAAACGUACUAUUGAGCUAAGGCAUGAAUACGAGACGCUACGGCGUUGGAGCAAAAGAUGUCAGGCUUCCAAGAAAAGCUCGCACUGUCAUAAAUAAAUAAUGCCUGUACCAUAACCGACACAGGUGGGUAGGUAGAGUAUACUAAGGGGCGCGAGAUAACUCUCUCUAAGGAACUCGGCAAAAUAACUCCGUAACUUCGGGAGAAGGAGUGCCUUAUUUUUAAGGUUGCAAUAACAAGAUCCAAGCAACUGUUUAUCAAAAACACAGGUCUCCGCUAAGUCGUAAGACGAUGUAUGGGGGCUGACGCCUGCCCAGUGCCAGAAGGUUAAAGAAGCUGGUUAGCAAUAGCGAAGCUAGUAACUGAAGCCCUGGUGAACGGCGGCCGUAACUAUAACGGUCCUAAGGUAGCGAAAUUCCUUGUCGGGUAAGUUCCGACCCGCACGAAAGGCGUAAUGAUUUGGAUACUGUCUCAGAGAGGGGCUCGGUGAAAUAGACUUGUCUGUGAAGAUGCGGACUACCUGCACCUGGACAGAAAGACCCUAUGAAGCUUUACUGUAACUUGAAAUUGAAAUUGGACUUUAUUUGCGCAGUAUAGGUGGGAGGCAUAGAAAGAUUUUUGCGGAAAUACUGGAGCCAUUAGUGAGAUACCACCCCUAUAAUGUUAGAUUUCUAACUUUUACCAUUAUCUGGUAAAAGAACAGUUUCAGGCGGGCAGUUUGACUGGGGCGGUCGCCUCCUAAAUGGUAACGGAGGCGCACAAAGGUUUCCUCUGAACGGGUAGAAAUCGUAUCUAGAGUGUAAAGGCAAAAGGAAGCUUGACUGUGAGACUUACAAGUCAAGCAGGGACGAAAGUCGGUCUUAGUGAUCUGACGGUGCUGAGUGGAAAGGCCGUCACUCAACGGAUAAAAGUUACUCUAGGGAUAACAGGCUGAUCUCCCCCAAGAGUUCACAUCGACGGGGAGGUUUGGCACCUCGAUGUCGGCUCAUCGCAUCCUGGGGCGGUAGUACGUCCCAAGGGUUGGGCUGUUCGCCCAUAAAAGCGGUACGCGAGCUGGGUUCAGAACGUCGUGAGACAGUUCGGUCCAUAUCCGGUGUAGGCGUUAGAAUAUUGAGAGGAGCUUUCUUUAGUACGAGAGGACCGAGAAGGACAUACCUCUGGUGUACCAGUUAUUGUGCCAAUGGUAAACGCUGGGUAGCUAUGUAUGGAGUGGAUAACCGCUGAAAGCAUCUAAGUGGGAAGCCCACCUCAAGAUGAGUAUUCUCAUCACGUAAGUGAGUAAGGUCACGGUAAGACUAACCGUUAUAUAGGCAUUAAGUAUAAAUAUAGUAAUAUAUGAGCUGAGAUGUCCUAACAGAUCGA